rnacentral:pre_miRNA from 1 species
UAAUGAGGUCGGGCACAGCAGGAAUUUCCUGCUCAUCAUAUAUAUGUUGUGCAGGAAAUUCCUGCUGUGCCCUACCUCAAUUAACC